rnacentral:lncRNA from 1 species
CAAAUACAUCAUUAAAUACAACGGAUUGGAUUCAGGAAUGCAGAGAAAACGUUAACGUCAAUACUAUACUUCUUGUCGUAUAUAUGAUAGUAGGAAUUCUGGGAAAUUCUAUCGUUAUACUAGUUUAUAAGUUCCAAUUCAAAGAAACGUCUGAUGAACGAUAUUUCGUUCCUGUUUUGGCAUUUUUUGAUUUAGUUGCAUCAAUUUUGUGCUCGCUGAAUGGAAUAAUUGUCAACUCCUUACAAUUUACUUUAACUGAUGAUCUUGUUUGGGAUGUUUUAUAUUUCGUAAAUGGGAGUGUAAUAUAUACAACGAUACAUCUGCUACUUUGUAUAGCAAUUCAACGAUAUCUAAAAAUCUGUAGGCAGCAAUCUUUGACUUUAAAGCGCAGACGUUUAAUGAUUGUAUUAUCAUGUAUUGGUGCGUUGAUAAUUGCGCUUCCUCUCCCGUUUUCAUACGAAGAUAUGCAUUUCACGCAUGACGGAAAAGUGAUUGGUACACGUCCCACUAAAAUCAUAUAUAAGACAAAAGCCGCCACUGUCAGUUAUGGUAUAGCUGCGUCUGUAUUUGUGAUUCUAGUGUAUAUAAUGUUUAUUGUACUAUAUGGGAAAAUUGGCUGUACUUUGUAUCGACACUUCCAGGGAAUGAUAUUCAAACAGACUUUUAUUCGUCUAACAAAAAAGAUAAAACGGUCGGCAAAGGUGACAAAUGAACAACAGCUUGAAAACGAAGUCAAUUUUCAAGCUGUUAAUUUCAGUCCAAAAUCGGAAAUCAACCAAACCAAUUAUAAUGUAAUAAACACAUCGAUAAUUGAACUCAAAACAAACUCAGUCGUACCUACUUGUGAAUGCAUAACCAGAAGCAGCAUUAUCACAGCAGGAAAAAGACAUAACACAACUGAAACCUUGAAAACUAACAGACCAAACUCAAACGCUAUUGUGAUGUACCCAAAUGCUCUACAGAAACGAAAUCGUAAAGUAAAAAACAAAUUUACUCUAAUGUUCCUAGCGAUAACUAUUGUGUUUCUCAUAUGUUUUGCACCUGCGGCCGCUCUUUUGACUUUAGAAGGAUUCAAUCCAAAAUUUUGGGAAACUUUGCAAAUUAGAGAAUGGAGAAUAGUUCUAUAUUUCUGCCAAUUAUAUAUUAUGAAUAACAUUGUAAAUCCCUUUAUCUAUGCAUUCCUAGACAUCGAGUUCAGAAGAUCCGUCCUUUCCUUUUGUUUAUCGUUCUGUCGAAAAGACCGUACUGGAAGUAAAUGUAAUUGGUGAUAGUAUAAUUUGUUUUGAAUUCAAAUGAUAAUAUAUUACCACACUUGAAUGUUAUCUUACAUAGUGAGUGAACAAAC